GACGAACGCUGGCGGCGUGCUUAACACAUGCAAGUCGAACGAUGAAGCCUAGCUUGCUAGGUGGAUUAGUGGCGAACGGGUGAGUAAUACGUGAGUGACCUACCUUUGACUCUGGGAUAAGCCUGGGAAACUGGGUCUAAUACCGGAUACGACCAAUCUCCGCAUGGGGUGUUGGUGGAAAGCGUUAUGGAGUGGUUUAGAUGGGCUCACGGCCUAUCAGCUUGUUGGUGAGGUAAUGGCUUACCAAGGCGACGACGGGUAGCCGGCCUGAGAGGGUGACCGGCCACACUGGGACUGAGACACGGCCCAGACUCCUACGGGAGGCAGCAGUGGGGAAUAUUGCACAAUGGGCGCAAGCCUGAUGCAGCGACGCCGCGUGAGGGAUGACGGCCUUCGGGUUGUAAACCUCUGUUAGCAUCGAAGAAGCGAAAGUGACGGUAGGUGCAGAGAAAGCGCCGGCUAACUACGUGCCAGCAGCCGCGGUAAUACGUAGGGCGCGAGCGUUGUCCGGAAUUAUUGGGCGUAAAGAGCUUGUAGGCGGUUGGUCGCGUCUGCUGUGAAAGGCUGGGGCUUAACCCUGGUUUUGCAGUGGGUACGGGCUAACUAGAGUGCAGUAGGGGAGACUGGAAUUCCUGGUGUAGCGGUGGAAUGCGCAGAUAUCAGGAGGAACACCGAUGGCGAAGGCAGGUCUCUGGGCUGUAACUGACGCUGAGAAGCGAAAGCAUGGGGAGCGAACAGGAUUAGAUACCCUGGUAGUCCAUGCCGUAAACGUUGGGCACUAGGUGUGGGGGACAUUCCACGUUUUCCGCGCCGUAGCUAACGCAUUAAGUGCCCCGCCUGGGGAGUACGGCCGCAAGGCUAAAACUCAAAGAAAUUGACGGGGGCCCGCACAAGCGGCGGAGCAUGCGGAUUAAUUCGAUGCAACGCGAAGAACCUUACCAAGGCUUGACAUAUACUGGACUGCGUCAGAGAUGGCGUUUCCCUUCGGGGCUGGUAUACAGGUGGUGCAUGGUUGUCGUCAGCUCGUGUCGUGAGAUGUUGGGUUAAGUCCCGCAACGAGCGCAACCCUCGUCCUAUGUUGCCAGCACGUGAUGGUGGGGACUCAUAGGAGACUGCCGGGGUUAACUCGGAGGAAGGUGGGGAUGACGUCAAAUCAUCAUGCCCCUUAUGUCUUGGGCUUCACGCAUGCUACAAUGGCCGGUACAGAGGGUUGCGAUACUGUGAGGUGGAGCUAAUCCCUAAAAGCCGGUCUCAGUUCGGAUUGGGGUCUGCAACUCGACCCCAUGAAGUCGGAGUCGCUAGUAAUCGCAGAUCAGCAACGCUGCGGUGAAUACGUUCCCGGGCCU
rnacentral:rRNA from 1 species